AAAUGUGUCAAAUUUGUGUAAUCGUGCCAAAAAUCUGAAUUACUGUAAAUUUUUUGUACACUGUUAAAAUUGUAAUUCUUAACUGUAUUUUAAUGAUUCUGAUUUUGUUUUUGUUACUUAUGAUGAGAAUUGGACUCGGAUCCAUGUAUUAUGAACUAUGCCACUUAAACUUACUAAAUUUUUUGAUACUUUGUUCAUUUCUGCUGACUUUUCUCCAAUGAACUUUGAAAUCUUUCUCUAUGCUAUCAAUAAGAAAUUACCUUGGGACGUUAGAAAAAAAUCCAACCAGAGACUUGAUUUCAUCGGGCACUUUCUCAGACUAAGACAAAGCCCUGCAGGCAUUGGAGAGGCCACUGACCAUCAGUCGUCUCACUCAAGAAGAAGAGUGGAAGCACAGAAGCUCCUCAGUCACUGAACCCCCAGUUUGGGGUUGGGGGGUGUUAGAGACACUGUGAAACCCAAUCUUGUGUCAUGUCUCUCUCCUGGUUCGCUGUUUUGAGAAGGUUUGUGGGCUAUUUGGCUGGUGAGACACGAUCCCCUCCUAAGAACAUGUAGGUGCUCAGACAGGUAACCUCUGCUGCUGCUUGUUUGUCUGUUUGUUGGCUUUCAUUUAAAAUUUACUUUUGUUGUGCUAGGAUUUUUUAAGAUGUAAUAUAUUGCAGGGUUUAUAACCAGGUUCACUGCUUUCUUUUGUUUCUUAAAAAAGAAGUUUCAUUUAGUGUAAUGUAGGCGCCUUGGAGUGUUUCAGUGACAAGUAUCUCAGAAGCCUGCCGUUGGAGCCAUCUAGUCUUCCAGAUUAGAUUGGAAAUGUUUUUCGUUUUGGGGUUUCUUUUGCUUUCUUUAUCCCAGUGCACUUUGCCACACCUUUUGGGGUGGCUGCUAACUCUAGUGAAAAUAUUUUUUCUAUGUCAACAAAAAUUUGGUUCUUAAAAUUUCCUUAAUGUUUACAUUUUUAAAAUUGUUUUUCAAGAAAUAUUCUAAUAUUUUGCACUGUUACUGUUCUUUGCCAGCCUUUUCAGGAGCCAAAAUAUACAAAUACAAACAAACAAAAAAUACUCAGAGAAAAUACUUUCCUUCUUCCCCCUUCCUGCUGAUGAGUGAGACGUUUUGAGAGCUUUGGGGUCAGUGCCCUUCUAAACUUCCCCUCCCCCAGUAACGCAGCUGCGCAGUGCGUGCUCAGUGCAGUGGCUCGGACCGUGCCCAGCCCAGCCUGCUGGCAGCAGAGAGAUAAACUGGUAGGUGGCAGCAGAGAAAGGAAUUCCUCAGACUGAUGGCUGUUGACUGAGAAGAGAUAGCAUGAGACUACCGAGUGGUGGAGGAGCAGCAGAGAUGAAGGCUGGACUCAGGAAGGCUGCCUCUUUACUGAAUGGUUCUCUCCAAGUAACCAGUGAUCUCCUGGAGAAGACAGAACUCGUCACUUUAGAGUGGAGCGAGGAUACGGAAUAAGAAAGAAGUUGUUCUUUGUGUCCUGUUGCAUUCAGUGUGGGUUUUCUUUGUGUAAAUUAAAACACUGAAUGGGGAUACAUAAAUCGGAGUGUGAUUUGUUGUUGUCAGCAGCUGCUGUUUGUGCCCACUCUGUCUCACGUGCUAGUCCAGGAGACAGAUCAGCCCAGGUCCUUCCUUCUUCCCCAGUUGUCUUUGCAGUGAGGUGAGGGCUCCUUUCAGCACAUAGGCAGGCAGUCAUGUUGGAUGGUCCCCCAUGAGUGCUCAUACUGAGUAGUUGUUGCCAUGGUAAUCACUGAAGAACUUGAAGAAGAACACUCCUAUUGCUCAGAUUCACAUCUAACAAUGGUUACCUUUGGACACAUCUGUCUCCAUAAUAUAUUUAUUUCAAAAGAAAGUGAACAAACUUAGCUUGUUGGAUGGAUAUAUAAGGAUUACCUAUGAUACAGUAUCACCCAUUGUUGAAUAUUAACACUGCCAGCCUUACACAUUGAGUUAUUGAUAGCUUAUUCAGAACUAUUGAAUUAUUUAAUUGGCUGAAAACAUGGGAUGUUGCCCAUGUUGGUAAACACUCUACUGAAAUAAAUGUGUUCCUAAG
rnacentral:lncRNA from 1 species